UCACAAUUCACAACACAUUAAAGACUUGAUGUCCAUGUGCAUAAUGCAAGAGAGAUUUGUGUAGCAUGCAUAGCAAUUACCAACCUAAGAAUAAGUAUUCAAAUCAAAGCUACAAAGAAAUCUCAAAACUUACAAGCACUAAGAAGCAUACAUACACGACUCUUGCAUUGUACAAGGACAUAGACACAUCAACAAAAUGAAAUCAGUGAUACUCGUUUACAGACUUUGUGGCAGUUCUACUUGAGAGCUAAGAUCACAACCACACCUCCAAAUUGAAGAACUAUGAGCGAAGAAUCUCCACUUAAACAAGAAAAGAUAGAUGAAAAUGUGAGAAGGGAAAUUAUAAAUCACAGAUCACUGAGGCAUCCAAAUAUUGUUAGAUUCAAAAAGGUCAUAUUAACCCCUACACAUUUGUCUAUUGUGAUGGAAUAUGCUGCUGGUGGAGAGCUAUUUGAGUGAAUAUGCAAUGCAGGACGGUUCAAUGAGGAUGAAGCGCGCUUCUUCUUCCAACAACUUAUCUCAGGGGUUAGCUAUUGUCAUGCAAUGCAAGUAUGCCAUCGUGACUUGAAGUUAGAGAACACAUUACUAGAUGGCAGUCCAGCUCGUUGAUUAAAGAUAUGUGAUUUUGGGUAUUCUAAGUGCUACAUUCACAACCAAAAUCUAAAGUUGGUACCCCUGCAUACAUUGCUCCGGAAGUUCUACUCAGGAAGGAAUAUGAUGGCAAGAUUGCGGAUGUGUGGUCUUGUGGUUUGACCUUAUAUGUCAUGUUGGUGGGCUCAUACCCUUUUCAGGAUCCAGAUGAACCAAAAAUUUCCAGAAGACAACUCAU